AGAGCUCAGUGGCUGCCGGGUACCAAGACAGAUGCUCAUCACGAAAUGGACUUUCUUUAGCCACAACACCAGCAAAGUGGUCCACUAAGGAGCAAGCGCCGUGCUCUGUGUAGGAUCACGAAGCUCGGAGCGCAGAGAACGCUGUGUCCUGCCUGGGCUCCGAAGCUUUCGCCACACGUGGCCCGGAUUGUGAGGAAGGCUGCUCGCUUCAUGAGACUUUGACCUCACCCCGGCUGCCCUUUGAAGACACUCUCGGCCGGCGGUUCUGACCACCCUCUGGCACGGUUCUCAUAGCAAAGGGCUCCUAAACUCCAGAGCUGAGGGGCAGCUCCAACAGCUUUCCGGUGAUAGCGUGUUUGUGUGUGUGUGUGUGUGUGUGUGUGUGUGUGUGUGUGUGUGUGGCGGGAGUCUUGGGGAGCUGAGUUUCCCUCUGCUGCGGGGCAGUUGGUUAAUGAUCUCCCGACACCCGGCCGUGUGGGAGAGCAGGGUCACGCUGCGGCCUGUGCGGACAGGCUCGGCUGGAGGGUGCUGCAGAGGGACCUGCCUCUGACCCAUUGACCCGUCGGGAAAGUCCAGCAGCUGUGGCUCUGUGUCUUCCCAGUUGUCAGGCUCUGGGUCCCGCUGUCGCUCCAUUUCCAGGCUUGUGGGGGAAACAAGACUGUCUGCUGGCAGGACGAGAGAAACCUUGAUGUUCACAAAGAAACGUGGGGGAAGCUGCCCAGCCCUGCUCGUGGCCACCCUCCUCCCCAGAGCACCGCAGUGCGUACAGACAUGGUUUCUCAUUGAUUCGUUUCUUGAAGUGCUCCUGCCCACAUCCUCAGCCCGGCCACGGUUCUUACCCAUGCCCCAGCCGGCCUGCACACCUCCCGCAGCCUUCUGCCACCCGGUGGGUUACGGGAGAGGCCGAAUCCUGACCUACCCGAGCCUCUGCUCCAUGCACCUCCGCACCCCGGGGACAGCAGGGGAAGAGCAGAACGUUUCCUUCUUUCCUUCUCUCUCUCUCUCUCUCUCUCUCUCUCUCUCUCUCUCUCCCUCCCUCCCUCCCUCCCUUCCUUUCUUCCUUUCUUUUGUAUUAUUAUUUAUACAGCAUUCUGCCUGCAUGUACACCUGCACACCAGCAGAGGGCACCAGACCUCACUAUAGAGGGCUGUGAACCACCACGUGGGUGCUGGGAAUUGAACUCAGGUCCUUCGGAAGAGCAGCCGGUGCUCUAACCCCUCAGCCACCUCUCCAGCUUAGUGCAGGCCUGGCGGGAUGGCCCAGUGGGUAGACGCUGGCACGCAGGCCUGGCCCCAGUUUUGAUGGCCAUGACCUGUGUGAAGGUGAGAGGAAGAGCCCAUGCUGCUCUCCGUCUGGGGCACACGCUCUUCCCCAUCGAUGAAGUCUCGCUACACGUGGAGCGUCACAAGUCCGUGGUCUGACAAGGAAACACGGCACAGAUGAAACAUGGGCACCUCCCAGGCACAUAUGCCGGGGUGACGGGCCCUGCCUGGGGCGAGGCUCUGCCCCCGCCCUGCCCUGCCUCGAGCGGCCGUUGGUCACCCUGACUGUUCCGGGCGUCUGGAGGGCUGAGAGGCCGUUGGGGAAGGUCAGUAGCUGGACACGGCUCGGCCACUCCUCGCUGUGAGCUCCCUCAGGCUGCCUGCUCCCUCGCUUUCCCCGAGUCCCCAGCCCAGGCUGUUCUUCAAGGCGUUUCAUUUAUUAAUGUGUGCGUGGACGUGUGGCCUGCGUGUGCCUCUGUGUGCCCUGCGUGCUUGGUGCUCACGGGCUUCAGAUGAGGGUGUCAGAGCCCUGGGGACCGGACUUAGUGGUUGUGAGUUGCACACGGUUGUGGGCUCCGUGUGGUGCUGGGAACGCUGAGCCCUUUGCAAGAGCAGCUGCGCUCCUGGCCGAGCCUCUCCGGCCCACGUCUGUUCUCUAGGACACUGCUUAGGCCUCGGUCCUAGCUGGCCAGGGUCAGUCUCCACAGACAGGUGGGCCUGAACCACAGAGACUAUUCUUCAAGACAGAGGGUUGGUCAGUGAGACAGGAACCUGCCUGUCUCCGCCUCUCCCGGUGGUGGCAUUCCAGCCCAGGCCACAAUGCCCAGGCUGAGGACAAACAAGGUGCCCACCUCUGAUCUGUCGCUGGGCUCCUUCUCUUGCCUUUAUUGGGUGAUGGGGCUCAAACCGGAGCCUCGGGCCUGCUAAGUGACCUCCCCCUCCCCCCCACUGAGCUGCAAGCUGAGCCCCAGCCUCAACCUCUUAUAGCUUUGAUAGUUUUACUUUAAAUGCUGCUGGCGGUGCUGUGACCCUAGCUUAGACGGGACUUUGUCAAAGUCUUUACAGGUGACAGUAAAGCAAUGUGUGUGUGUGUGUGUGUGUGUGUGUGGUGUGUAUGUGUGUGUAUGGUAUGUGUGUGUGGUGUGUGGAUGGCAUGUGUGGGUGUGGGUGUGUAUGUGUGUAUCCUCCAUGUUAAUUUGUUUUGAAGGUUGAUUUUGUUUGUAUGUGCACAUGUGUUUUCCCUGCACGUGUGCAUGUGUGUCACAUGCGUGCCGGUUGCAAAGCUCAGAGACCCCUGAAAUUGGAGCGACAGAUGGUUGUGAGCCACCGUGUCUUUCACUGAACCCAGAGACCACUGUUUCCACCAGCCUGUCUGCCUCCCCGACCCUGUGCCGGGGUUACAGGUACAGGUUGCCAUGCCCGGUUUGUGGGUGCUGGGGAUCUGGCUUCAGGUCUGCAGGCUCUGUGGCAACAAGUUCCAGGCUGAACCAUCCCUCAGAGCCGAGUGUUUGGGCCACAAAGAAAUGCUGUUUGAGAAUGUGAAUGUUUAAUUUUAUGCAAAUAUUGUACAGUGUAUAAACCUCAUAUGGUACUCCAUUAAUCUGUACAAGUUUAUGUCUUUGGUUGUGUUUUUGUUUGUUUGUUUGAGACAGGGUUUCUCUGUGUAGCCCUUACUAACCUGGAACUCACUCUGUAGAUCAGGCUGGCCUUGAACUCAGAGAUCUACCUGCCUUUGCCUCCCAAGUGCUGGGACUAAAGGCGUGUGCCACCACCACAGUCCGACAAUUUCAUGUCUUUGUGUCAAUAAAAAACAAAUUUAAUUUAA